rnacentral:tRNA from 1 species
GUCUUCAUAGCUCAAUUGGAUAGAGUAGUUUCCUCCUAAGAAAAAGGUUGCAGGUUCAAGUCCUGCUGGAGACACCA